GGAGGCCACCACACUCUAGACGAGGCGGUACCACCUAUGGCCCUCUCACACUCUCAAGUCUGCCACACCUACACCCCUGUCUACAGCGUCAGCUCUACUUAAUGAGGUGGAGAGUCCGUCUUCUUGAGUGCUGAAGCUGGAAAUAUCUUUAAGGAGAUGAUUGAGCCAUAAACACCGUCUUUGGCGAAACUAAUACGAAGAAAAUGAAUCUCUGUCCUUGGCUUAGACUAGAAUUAUGGAAGCAACUCCCAUACUUGAAGACAAUCAAGGUGCUGGCAGAAAUCACUUGGCAUGAACAUACAAAUUCAAGAUUUGCUGUGAUUGGAGGAAUUCAACAUGUCAAAAUAACAGUUCAAGUAGAAUGGAGUUCAGAUGUGCUGUCCUGAGCCUACAAUCCCUGCUCUUUGAAAUGCUGAGACAGGAGGAACACACAUUCAAGAUCUACUUGGGCAACUCUACUAGUGUUACCAGGAUUCAUACCGACCUCUGCUACCCCCAGGGACUCAAGAGGGCAACCUGGCUUUCCAGUUCUCUGCUUUCACAAGACACUCUACACACAGCUGAAUGCAAUGCUUUUUAUUACUUCCAAGAUGGUUUUUGUCCAAAGGUUUAACGAGACAGAUGGGAAACAUAACUUUUCAGAAUAGCAGUGUAAGGGGUGAUUUCCUACAUAACUGUCUCAACAAGACUCCAAGUGAAAGAGGAAGAAAUCUCAUCUAACUCUAGAAGGAAGAAGUUCUGCAUCGUUUGGUUAAGGUUGAUCAACUUCUUCUUUAAAGAAACAAGGCAUUAAAGAUAGAGGAGCCUUUGCUCAUGUCUGUGAGUUUCUGUUUUGAUAUCAUAAGUGUUCCCAUCAAUCCAAAUGAAUGAAUUCAUCUCAGAUCUCAGGAAAAAUUUGCCUUCAUUCGUCAUGAAAACUCUGUAACAAAAAUUAUAAAAAAUUCACAAAGCUGCUGCUGUGUGGA